GACAGAGGAUGCAAGCGUUAUCCGGAAUGAUUGGGCGUAAAGCGUCUGUAGGUGGCUUUUUAAGUCUGCCGUCAAAUCCCAGGGCUUAACCCUGGACAGGCGGUGGAAACUACCAAGCUGGAGUACGGUAGGGGCAGAGGGAAUUUCCGGUGGAGCGGUGAAAUGCGUAGAGAUCGGAAAGAACACCGAUGGCGAAGGCACUUUACUGGGCUAUUACUAACACUCAGAGACGAAAGCUAGGGUAGCAAAUGGG
rnacentral:rRNA from 1 species